rnacentral:rRNA from 1 species
ACUCCUACGGGAGGCAGCAGUGGGGAAUAUUGGACAAUGGGGGAAACCCUGAUCCAGCAAUGCCGCGUGUGUGAAGAAGGCCUGAGGGUUGUAAAGCACUUUCAACUGUGAGGAUUGGGAUUUUUGGUUAAUACCCCGAGGAUCCUUGACGUUAGCAGUAGAAGAAGCACCGGCUAACUCCGUGCCAGCAGCCGCGGUAAUACGGAGGGUGCAAGCGUUAAUCGGAAUUACUGGGCGUAAAGCGUCUGUAGGCGGCUUAUUAAGUCGGAUGUGAAAUCCCAGGGCUUAACCUUGGAACUGCAUUCGACUGGUAAGCUAGAGUGUGUAAGAGAUAGGUGGAAUUCCAGGUGUAGCGGUG